AUUGAACGCUGGCGGCAUGCCUUACACAUGCAAGUCGAACGGCAGCAUGGAGAGCUUGCUCUCUGAUGGCGAGUGGCGAACGGGUGAGUAAUGCAUCAGAACGUACCGUGUAAUGGGGGAUAACGUAGCGAAAGUUACGCUAAUACCGCAUACGACCUGAGGGUGAAAGCAGGGGAUCGCAAGACCUUGCGUUAUACGAGCGGCCGAUGUCAGAUUAGCUAGUUGGUGAGGUAAAGGCUCACCAAGGCGACGAUCUGUAGCGGGUCUGAGAGGAUGAUCCGCCACACGGGGACUGAGACACGGCCCAGACUCCUACGGGAGGCAGCAGUGGGGAAUUUUAGACAAUGGGGGCAACCCUGAUCCAGCCAUGCCGCGUGAGUGAAGAAGGCCUUCGGGUUGUAAAGCUCUUUCGGCCGGGAAGAAAUCGCACAGGCUAAUACUCUGUGUGGAUGACGGUACCGGCAUAAGAAGCACCGGCUAACUACGUGCCAGCCGCCGCCGUAA
rnacentral:rRNA from 1 species